rnacentral:lncRNA from 1 species
AUAAGAGUUAUUUUUGUGAACUCUUUUGUUGGAAGAAACAUAUCUUAUAUAUUAUAUAAUGUUUGGUGGCGGUGGUGGUGGUGGUGGUGGACGCAUGGUAACGGUUGUUGGAAGAGCGGUGACAGCAUGCGGUGUCUGUGGCACCACUCCCACUAGAGUCUCUGCUUCUUCACACAAAGUGGAUUCAUCAGACUCCAUCCAUCUUUCAUUCUCUUCUAAUUCCUCUCUCUCUUCUGAGACUCUUUCUAACAAUCUCUUCAAUGCAUCAUUCCCCGAUGACUGGGCUUUUGUUCAUAAUAAUCAUAAUGCUAAUCAUGAUGAUGAUGAUGAUGAUGAUGAUGAUGAUGCUGUUCCUUCUGAGACUGACGUUGAUGCUGCUCUUUCUGCUCUCCAUCGG